CGGCUUCGCCCAGCGCCUUCACCACGUGCUGCCGCCAGUCGCCUCUCGCGCGUCGGCGGAGGCGGUUCGGUAACAAUCUGAGAGGGGAUUUAUAUCAUGCAACGAACCGACAGUCACACAUGGCUCAAUCUACGUACGAGUUUUCAGCAGAGUGACAUGUAAUUCAGCAAAUCUCGUCGCUUGCAGCUGUCGGCUUAAAACAACGCCGAUUCGCCAGCGAAAAAUAACUACCAGCUCGGGCAUAAGCACUGUUUUCACUGUGUGCCAUGCUAGCAGCGUCAAGGCGGACUUCAUGGAUAGCCGCAAAAAUACCAACGUGGACGAUGUCGAAUUACUACCAUGAUACUUUACUACGCCAACAUGCCGCGAGCAAAUUCCUCAACAGAUGUCAGUGCACGUCAGCACCGAAGAUUCACAGAAAGGUGUUACCAUCUAUACAGACAAGACGCUGAAGGGAAGUAAUAAUUUCGUCGGUUUUAUGACUGCAAAGUUCAGAACCAGCUACUUUCAGGGAUGACUGAGAAGGGUGAAGUGUCAAUGUAAGGUAAGAGAGGUCGCCGGAUCUCUUCCAAUUGAGAACGUUUGGACCAUCAAGGGCAAGAUCCGCCAACCAUCUCGGGAUUUUGACGAUCUAAAGCGCUAACUGGACAGAAAUUGGCACGAUAUUCCUCAGGAUGACAUCCAACAACUCUAUUAAUCAAUACCAAAUGGAAUAACUGCUUGCGUAAAGGCCAGAGGUGGAUCGACACGCUGCUGACUAGCUCAA